rnacentral:rRNA from 1 species
UACGGAGGGAGCUAGCGUUGUUCGGAAUUACUGGGCGUAAAGCGCGCGUAGGCGGCUUUGUAAGUUAGAGGUGAAAGCCCGGGGCUCAACCCCGGAAUUGCCUUUAAGACUGCAUCGCUUGAAUCCGGGAGAGGUGAGUGGAAUUCCGAGUGUAGAGGUGAAAUUCGUAGAUAUUCGGAGGAACACCGGUGGCGAAGGCGGGUCUCUGGGCCGAUACUGACGCUGAGGAGCGAAAGCGUGGGGAGCGAACAGG